rnacentral:rRNA from 1 species
GACGAACGCUGGCGGCGUGCUUAACACAUGCAAGUCGAACGGAAAGGCCCUGCUUGCCGGGUACUCGAGUGGCGAACGGGUGAGUAACACGUGGGUGAUCUGCCCUGCACUUCGGGAUAAGCCUGGGAAACUGGGUCUAAUACCGGAUAGGAGCCAUUUUUAGUGUGAUGGUUGGAAAGUUUUUUCGGUGUAGGAUGAGCUCGCGGCCUAUCAGCUUGUUGGUGGGGUAAUGGCCUACCAAGGCGGCGACGGGUAGCCGGCCUGAGAGGGUGGACGGCCACAUUGGGACUGAGAUACGGCCCAGACUCCUACGGGAGGCAGCAGUGGGGAAUAUUGCACAAUGGGCGCAAGGCUGAUGCAGCGACGCCGCGUGGGGGAUGACGGCCUUCGGGUUGUAAACUCCUUUCGCUAGGGACGAAGCUUUUUGUGACGGUACCUAGAUAAGAAGCACCGGCUAACUACGUG